AAUUGAGGGAGUGAGGAAGAGAGCAGCUCGCUUCUAACUGGACUGCACGUUGGUGACAGCGUCCCGAGCUGGUAACAGACCCACUCUGUAACUUUCAGCUAGAUUCAGCCACCAGAUCCCAGAAACAUGACCCUUGCUGCCUACAAAGAGAAGAUGAAGGAGCUCCCGCUGGUGUCCUUGUUCUGCUCCUGCUUCCUGGCGGAUCCCCUGAAUAAGUCGUCCUACAAAUAUGAAGGUCAGUGAAGGCUCAGCCAGGAAAGUGAGGGGCAGGGGGAUCCCUGUGUCCUGUCCUCAUGGGUCCUGCACCCCGACCCCAGUUCAGUGAAUCUCUCCUUCCGAGACAGUUUCCUUCCCAGUGCCGAUGAAAUCACAGCGGGUGAGCCUGAGGGUCUGAGCUGCAGUGGUCCAGCCUGAGCACUAGGGCGAGGCCAUGAAGGUCUGCAUCAGGCGCCCCCAGAGUGCACUCGAUCUUGUCACCUCUGUGCAUGCAUCCAGCAAAUCGAGACUGGGGGGUAUGCAAAGGCUGGUGUGGGAGACAGUGUAGGAGGAAGGAUGAAAGCCAGCGGAAAGACAGUGCUGACUGGAGAGAAAGAAGAGCGCAGGCAGACACGGUGGACCUGAAUUGGUGCGUCAUUUCCGACAUGGAAGUCAUUGAGCUGAACAAAUGCACCUCGGGCCAGUCCUUUGAAGUCAUCCUG
rnacentral:sRNA from 1 species